GAGGAUGGAGGGCGGGUAUUUAAAAAAAAUAACAAAGGUUAUUCAAAAAAAUAACAAAUGUUCGGUGGUGAAAGGGAUUCAUUCAGGGUGGGAUGGAGGGCUCUGCCUGCAAGGGAGAAGCGGUUAUGUCUGUUACCAGCAUUCAGUGCAUAAUAGAGUUCUGGGCUGCCUACGUCACAUGUGAAGGGGGUGCAACUAGCCCCCAGCACACAAUUAAA